AAAAUUGUGGCCUACGAAGUACCAUUUCUCCACAAUGAAGAACUUGGAGUUCUUGGAGUCAGACCCCUUCAAAUCACUGGGAGAUGGCAAGAGAGCUUCUUCUUCAUAAACCUCUACCAAUGGUGCAGGUGAAAUCAACAACUUGGGGACUUUUGCUUCAACCCUGGACUUACUAAUUCACUAUGCAGACCACCCUGAGGGUCAAGUAGCUACCGACAGGAAGCACUGCUGUGGGGGGACCCCAAGCUGAAGAGGAGCAAGCUCUCUCUUAUAAGCUAAAUGACAUGAAGGCUUCUUAAUCUCUGUGACUAUUUCUCUCUGUCACCUCUGAGAUGUGGGCAAUCUUUUCAACUGUUCCACCUGGUUUCAGCAGAACCGUUAAGGAAUGAAGAGGUGACUAAAGAUGAUGCCCUUUUGAUCAGACCACUGGGAAGUGGGGGGCCUCCCCAGAGGCCCAGCAUUGUGAUAACAGAGAUAAUAAAAGACUCCCCAAAAGGGAGCUGAACACCUGGGAAAAACAGAUGGGGUAAUGAGCUUAGGUAUCUCUCCCUAAAAAGAGAGUUCCUCUCCAUGCUAGUUUGGAAGGAUUGGGGCUUGAGUAUAGUAAGGUCCUCUUACAUGAAAGUGCUCAAAGAGCAGUCAUUAUCUAACCCAUGCCAUACAUUUAUAUCCUCGGUAUAUUACAGUGGUUUAUAUUUAUAACAACAGCUCCAGCUGGACUCAGUGGCUCAUGCCUGUAAUUCCAAUACUUUAGGAGGCCGAGAUGGGAGGAUCGCUUGAGGCCAAGAGUUGGAGACCAGUCUGGACAACAUAGGGAGACCCUUAUCUCUACAAAAAUUUUAAAAAAUAGCUGGGCAUAAUGGUGUGCACCCAUGGUCCUAGCUACUUGGUAGGCUGAGGUGGGAGGAUUGCUUGAGCCCAGGAGUUUGAGACUGCAGUGAGCUAUGAUCGUGCCAGCCUGUGCUCCAGCCUUGAUGACAGAGGAAGACCCUGUUUCUAUAAAAAAGAGAAACAAGCAAAACAGCCCUAUGUCAUAAAAGAUAAAAGUAUAUUCUGUAAAAUCUAAUAAUGUAGGAAAAUGUACAGGACAUUUAAGAAAAAUAUUCAUUAAUAAAACAUUAUGUAUUACAAAAUGGUAUCUGAAGAACUCAUAUCCAAUUAUCUGGUAAAAUUCAACUAUCCGGAAUGUCAUUCUUCAAGGGUUCUGGAUAGCUAAGUUUUUAAUAUAUCACUAUAUAACUACACUCAAUGUGCAAACUGACCUAUGGUCAACCGAACCACAAUUCCUUUUGAGAACACAUUUUAGAGCAAGGAGCUGGAGCGAGGGAAUCAGUGUCAAAGAUGG
rnacentral:lncRNA from 1 species